rnacentral:rRNA from 1 species
CACGUAGGGCGCAAGCGUUGUCCGGAAUUAUUGGGCGUAAAGAGCUCGUAGGCGGUCUGUUGCGUCCGCUGUGAAAACUCGGGGCUUAACCCCGAGCCUGCAGUGGAUACGGGCAGACUAGAGGUAGGUAGGGGAGAAUGGAAUUCCCGGUGUAGCGGUGAAAUGCGUAGAUAUCUGGAGGAACACCGGUGGCGAAGGCGGCAUCCUGGACCGACACUGACGCUGAGGAGCGAAAGCCAGGGGAGCAAACGGG